UACGUAGGGUCCGAGCGUUGUCCGGAAUUAUUGGGCGUAAAGAGCUCGUAGGCGGCUUGUCACGUCGGGUGUGAAAGCCCGGGGCUUAACCCCGGGUCUGCAUUCGAUACGGGCUAGCUAGAGUGUGGUAGGGGAGGACUGGAAUUCUCGGUGUAGCAGUGAAAUGCGUAGAUAUCAGAGGAACACCAGUGGCGAAGGCGAGUCUCUGGACAUUUCCUGACGCUGAGGCACGAAAGCCAGGGGAGCAAACGGG
rnacentral:rRNA from 1 species